rnacentral:rRNA from 1 species
AUUGAACGCUGGCGGAAUGCUUUACACAUGCAAGUCGAACGGUAGAGGGGGCAACCCCUCGAGAGUGGCGAACGGGUGAGUAAUAUAUCGGAACGUGCCCAGUCGUGGGGGAUAACGUAGCGAAAGUUACGCUAAUACCGCAUACGAUCUAAGGAUGAAAGCGGGGGAUCGCAAGACCUCGCGCGAUUGGAGCGGCCGAUAUCAGAUUAGGUAGUUGGUGGGGUAAAGGCUCACCAAGCCAACGAUCUGUAGCUGGUCUGGGAGGACGACCAGCCACACUGGAACUGAGACACGGUCCAGACGCCUACGGGAGGCAGCAGUGGGGAAUUUUGGACAAUGGACGCAAGUCUGAUCCAGCCAUUCCGCGUGCAGGAUGAAGGCCCUCGGGUUGUAAACUGCGUUUGUACGGAACGAAAAGGUCUCUCUUAAUACGGGGGACUCAUGACGGUACCGUAAGAAUAAGCACCGGCUAACUACGUGCCAGCCGCCGCGGUAA